CCUUGUUCUUAUAUAUCACGUCAUUGUAUUAAGGUAAUUUUGGUAUUCUUGUCUUGCAUGUUUGCUAAUGUGCUUUGUCUAAAUUCCUUUAUUUUUUUCUUUUUACAUAUUUGUUUGUUUUCGUAGUGAUUAAGAUUAUAACACAACGUUGAUUGCUGUAUUUUGAUUUUUUACAUAUUGUGUCGGUUUAUGUUGUUCACACAUCGUUGUCAAUAUAAUGGAACUGUGUGCGACUGUCAUUCAAGCAAGGGGUUUAGCUAGCUAUAAAAACAAAUUUAAUCAACCAUUUCUAAAUUUAAAAAAAAAUGAUUGUACCAAAUCAGGAAUAUGACAGUUGUUAUCCAUUGGUUUGAUGUGUUUGAACUUUUGAUUUGCCAUUUGAAUAGGGACUUUCGGUUUUGAAUGUUCCUACGAAACUGAAAUUACAACUCUUUAAAAUAAU
rnacentral:lncRNA from 1 species